UGCAGCAGGCGCGAAAACUUUACAAUGCCGGCAACGGCGAUAAGGGGACCUCGAGUGCCAGGUUACAAAUCUGGCUGUCGUGAUGCCUAAAAAGCAUUGCAUAGCAAGGGCCGGGCAAGACCG
rnacentral:rRNA from 1 species